rnacentral:rRNA from 1 species
AUUGAACGCUGGCGGAAUGCCUAACACAUGCAAGUCGAGCGGGGUAGCAAUACCCAGCGGCGGACGGGUGAGGAAUACAUAGGAAUUCGCCUUUAGGUGGGGGAUGGCUUGGGGAAACUCAAGGUAAUACCGCAUGAUCUCGCAAGAGCAAAGUGGGGGACCGCAAGGGCUCACGCCUUUAGAUAAGCCUAUGUCUGAUUAGCUUGUUGGUGAGGUAACGGCUCACCAAGGCGACGGUCAGUAACUGGUCUGAGAGGACGAUCAGUCACACCGGAACUGAGACACGGUCCGGACUCCUACGGGAGGCAGCAGUGGGGAAUAUUGGACAAUGGGCGCAAGCCUGAUCCAGCAAUUCCGCGUGUGUGAAGAAGGCCUUCGGGUUGUAAAGCACUUUAGGUUGGGAAGAAAAAGCUUCGGCGAAUAUCCGGAGUGUUGACGGUACCAACAGAAUAAGCACCGGCUAACUCUGUGCCAGCAGCCGCCGUAA